UGAAGCUUCAUCCCUCCAGUCUCUGU
rnacentral:piRNA from 1 species